CGCCAGCAGCCGCGGUAAUACGUAGGGGGCGAGCGUUGUCCGAAUUUAUUGGGCGUAAAGCGCGUGUAGGCGGUUUUUUAAGUCAGGUGUGAAAUCCCGCAGCUCAACUGCGGAACUGCACUUGAUACUGUAAGGCUUGAGAGUGGGAGAGGAAAGUGGAAUUCCUGGUGUAGCGGUGAAAUGCGUAGAUAUCAGGAGGAACACCCGUGGCGAAGGCGGCUUUCUGGCCCACUUCUGACGCUGAGACGCGAAAGCCAGGGGAGCGAACGGGAUUAGAUACCCCGGUAGUCCUGGCCGUAAACGAUGGAUACUAGGUGUUAGAGGUAUCGACCCCUCUAGUGCCGUAGCUAACGCAUUAAGUAUCCCGCCUGGGGAGUACGGCCGCAAGGUUGAAACUUAAAGGAAUUGGCGGGGG
rnacentral:rRNA from 1 species